AGUGAACGCUGGCGGUAGGCCUAACACAUGCAAGUCGAACGAGUGGCGGACGGGUGAGGAAUACAUCGGAAUGUACUUUGUGGCGGGGGAUAACGUAGGGAAACUUAUGCCAAUACCGCAUACGAUCGACUGAGUCGAUGUCGGAUUAGCUAGUUGGCGGGGUAAAGGCCCACCAAGGCGACGAUCCGUAGCUGGUCUGAGAGGAUGAUCAGCCACACUGGAACUGAGACACGGUCCAGACUCCUACGGGAGGCAGCAGUGGGGAAUAUUGGACAAUGGGCGAAAGCCUGAUCCAGCCAUGCCGCGUGUGUGAAGAAGGCCUUCGGAUUGUAAAGCCCUUUUGUUGGGAAAGCGGUACCCAAAGAAUAAGCACCGGCUAACUUCGUGCCAGCCGCCGCGGUAAUAC
rnacentral:rRNA from 1 species